GUUUGGGUGAUGACUUAACAAUUUGUCGGAUACCCCUUCACUCUUAUGAGUGAGAACAGCAGUCUGACAAAC
rfam:Egretta garzetta contig75127, whole genome shotgun sequence.